AUGAAUUGAAGGACACUUUUUCACAGCAUCGGACAAAUUAAAAUAUUUACAUUUUCUGUGAAAAAGUGUCAAGGUGGUUGAUAGUAAAAAAAUUCGUAAGGGUUCCGCGGAACCCAGUGUCUCGCCUACUUUUGCUGUUAAUCGCAGGCUCAACAAAAAUGAGGAAAAAAAUUAAUAAAAAUAUUCCUCUCUAUACUAUCUUUUGAUUGUAAGUAGCUUCUGUCCAAGUUUGGUAAAAAUCCAGGAUAGUUUAUGAAUCUAAUAAAUGUUUUAAAAACUUAAAGUGCAGACUGUAUGUAAUGUUAACUGGAAGAAAAACUAAGUCCAUUUAUAAGUAAAAUACGGAAAAAAUGGAAUUUUUUUUUUACUUUUUUACAAAAUUUACUUCUGGAUACUAUCUUUUGAUCAUAAACAAGCUUCUUUCCAAGUUUGGUAGAAAUCCAGGAUAGUUUAAGAAAGUUAUUAAAAUUUCAAAAACUUUAACCACAGAGUGAAUGUAAUGUUUCAUGGCAGAAAAACUAAGUCCGUUUAUAAGUAAAAUACGGAAAAAAUGGAAUUUUUUUUUUACAAAAUUUACUUCUGGAUACUAUCUUUUGAUCAUAAACAAGCUUCUUUCCAAGUUUGAUAGAAAUCCAGGAUAGUUUAAGAACGUUAUUAAAAUUUCAAAAACUUUAACCACAGAGUGAAUGCAAUGUUUCAUGGCAGAAAAACUAAGUCCAUUUAUAAGUAAAAUACGGAAAAAAUGGAAUUUUAUUUUUACUAAAUUUACUUUUGAAUAUUAUCUUAUGAUCAUAAACAAGCUUCUGUCCAAGUCUGGUAGAAAUCCAGGAUAGUUUAAGAAAGUUAUUAAAAUUUCAAAAACUUUAACCACAGAGUGAAUAUUUGUGGACGACGCCGCCGCCGACGGAAUGUAGGAUCGCUAUGUCUCGCUUUUUCGACAAAAGUCGAAGGCUCGACAAAAAGGUAUUGUUACUUAAAUGACUAGUAAUGGAUUGUUGAGACUUGUUAUAUGUCAAAACAUUUUAGAAAAUUGUAAUUAUGGAGAAUAAUAAAGACUUUUUUACAGUGGGCCCCAAAUCCCCAAAUACCUGUGUCAGAUUUAGGUGAAUAGAAAAUAGGGAUUGUAUGCAAGUAAAGCCUAGAUUUUUGUAAAAACAAAACAAAAACAAAGACUUUUAUCUGUUAUAGUUUGAUCUAUUACAGAUUUUCAUUGUAAAAUUUAACUCACUUACAAGUAUUAUGUCCAUGCCAGCAUUUAUUGUUUACAAAGAGUCCUACACAACCUUAAAUCAAAUACAAUCCAAAGUCAAACACACCCAAAGCCAAAGGCAAAGGUGUACUUGAAUAGGUCUAUAUUUGGUAGUCUUGAUUUAAUGAAUAACUUUAUUUCUGAAUUUUAAAUUGGUAUUAUUAAACUGUGUAAGAGAAAUUAUUGCUCUAUCUAAUAAGCAUUGACCAGUUGACAUUAUUGUGGUCAAGCAGAUACCAAAAAAUAUUCGGAAUCCAGAUUUUCCCCAUACUUGUCAGGUAACCAGAGGAUUUCCAAACCGAAGUGGUUCGUCUAAAAAAGGUGGAAUUUUAAUACAGAAUAGGUGACGGGUAACAGUUCUGUGGAUGGAACAAACAUCCUCACCUUCAAACUGGUAAAGUUCAACUUCUACAAGAGUCCUGAGUUGCAGUGCGAUAGAAGAACGUCUGUUAUCCAAAUGCAAUCAGGGAACCAGUUCACGUAAGACAAACUUGUUGUGACCUUGAACAUGAAGAUGCAGAGAUGCUGAAUGAAAACUUGUCAGUACGACAGUAGCCUGUUGUUGAAAUGAUUUCAAUUUAUAUAUAUGAUUGACAUAUCCAUAGGACAUGCAGUUAGCCUAGACAAAUAGAAAGAGAAAGGUCUCUGAUUUAAUUCUCUGUGAAGUUCAAGGUCUUUCUUAGUCUAAAUAUGGGAAGAUUUGAAAGGAUACAUAGAAAUCUUGGAGGACAAAUUGACUUGAGUCUUAAAAGACACAGAUAUGAAGAUAAACAAGAGGAAAAGAAUGCCAAACAUAGUUUAAAGGACUGCAUACUUUCUGAUAUCUUUCAAAUUAUUGUGUCUUUUUGGUAUAAAUGUAAUAAUGCAAUAUCAUCUUAUUUGUAUAGGCAUGUAUACAUCCUGCAAAUCUUGUUGGUACCUUUUAGCUCCUUUUAAUGCAACCACUAUUUAUAAAACAUUGUCCUGAUUGUAUUUCUAUAUGUGAGUUUAUUAGUUAACUAGCGCUUGCCGCGUAGUAAUUGCAUAUAUAUGCAUUAUUAAAUACCAUACCUAUCAUCAAUCUUAGUCUUUUUAAUUAAGAAAUAAUUUUUAAAACAAGUUUUUUUAAUGGAAUUUUAUUUUCUAUGUUUAACCUGUAAUAUGCACUUAGUCAAAUAUAGCAUGUUGCAAAAGAGAUGCAAUAGAGAGCAAACAUUAUAUUUCAUGUUUACAUAAAAACCUUCUAUAUGUAUCAAAAUUCUGUGUUGUAAAAUCUGAAAGAUUUUGUUUUUCAGGAUUUUUCCCAAUAUGUUUAAGAAAUCUGUAGCAUAAUUUUUGCUUGUAGAUUUUAUUUCGGGAUUUUUCCCGAAAUGGGUAAAAAAAAAACUAUGCACCAAGUGUGUGCCUGAUAAUAGAUUUAUAUUUUCGGGAUUUUUCCCGAAAUGUGAAAGAAAUUAUUAGUCAUGAGUUCUAGCAUAUACAUAGAUUUGCGGGAUAAAUCCCC